CAAUAGCGUAUAUUAAAGUUGUUGCGGUUAAAAAGCUCGUAGUUGGAUUUCUGCCGAGGACGACCGGUCCGCCCUCUGGGUGUGUAUCUGGUUUGGCCUGGGCAUCUUCUUGGAGAACGUAGCUGCACUUGACUGUGUGGUGCGGUGUCCAGGACUUUUACUUUGAGGAAAUUAGAGUGUUUCAAGCAGGCACACGCCUUGAAUACAUUAGCAUGGAAUAAUAAGAUAGGACCUCGGUUCUAUUUUGUUGGUUUCUAGAGCUGAGGUAAUGAUUAAUAGGGAUAGUUGGGGGCAUUCGUAUUUAACUGUCAGAGGUGAAAUUCUUGGAUUUGUUAAAGACGGUCUACUGCGAAAGCAUUUGCCAAGGAUGUUUUCAUUGA
rnacentral:rRNA from 1 species